rnacentral:rRNA from 1 species
CCUACGGGAGGCAGCAGUGGGGAAUAUUGCACAAUGGGGGAAACCCUGAUGCAGCGAAGCCGCGUGAGUGAAGAAGUCAUUCGUUAUGUAAAGCUCUAUCAGCAGGGGAGAAAAUGACGGUCCGUGAGUCAGAAGCCCCGGCUCACUACGUGCCAGCCGCCGCGGUAAUACGUAGGGGGCCAGCGUUAUCCGGAUUUACUGGGUGUAAAGGGGGCGUGGACGGCAGUGCAAGUCUGGCGUGAAAGGCGGGGGCUCAAACCCCGGACCGCUCUGGAAACUGUACGGCUGGAGUGCAGGAGAGGUAAGUGGAAUGCGUGGUGUAGCGGUGAAAUGCGUAGAUAUUAGGAGGAACACCAGUGGCGAAGGCGGCUUACUGGACUGUAACUGACGUUGAUGCUCGAAAGCGUGGGGAGCAAACAGGAUUAGAUACCCCGGUAGUC